AACGAACGCUGGCGGCGUGCUUAACACAUGCAAGUCGAACGAUGAAGCUAGAGCUUGCUCUGGUGAAUUAGUGGCGAACGGGUGAGUAACACGUGAGUAACCUGCCCCGAACUCUGGGAUAACUGCUGGAAACGGUAGCUAAUACUGGAUACGACCUACGAAGGCAUCUUCUGUAGGUGGAAAGAAUUUCGGUUCGGGAUGGACUCGCGGCCUAUCAGCUUGUUGGUGAGGUAAUGGCUCACCAAGGCGACGACGGGUAGCCGAGCUGUGAGGGUGCCCGGCAACACUGGGACUGGGACUCGGCCCGGACUCCUACGGGAGGCAGCAGUGGGAAUAUUGCACAAUGGGCGCAAGCCUGAUUCAGCAACGCCGCGUGAGGGAUGACGGCCUUCGGGUUGUAAACCUCUUUUAGUAGGGAAGGAGCGAAAGUGACGGUACCUGCAGAAAAAGCACCGGCUAACUACGUGCAAGCCGCCGCGGUAA
rnacentral:rRNA from 1 species